rnacentral:rRNA from 1 species
CCUACGGGUGGCAGCAGUGAGGAAUAUUGGUCAAUGGGCGCAAGCCUGAACCAGCCAAGUCGCGUGAGGGAUGACGGUCCUAUGGAUUGUAAACCUCUUUUGUCGGGGAGCAAGGCCCGCCACGUGUGGCGGGAAGGAGAGUACCCGAAGAAAAAGCAUCGGCUAACUCCGUGUCAGCAGCCGCGGUAAUACGGAGGAUGCGAGCGUUAUCCGGAUUUAUUGGGUUUAAAGGGAGCGUAGGCGGGCGUUCAAGUCAGCUGUAAAAUCGCGCGGCUCAACCGCGCCCCGCAGUUGAAACUGGACGCCUUGAGUUCACAACAGGCAGGCGGAAUUCGUGGUGUAGCGGUGAAAUGCAUAGAUAUCACGAGGAACCCCGAUUGCGAAGGCAGCCUGCCGGGGUGCGACUGACGCUGAGGCUCGAAGGUGCGGGUAUCAAACAGGAUUAGAUACCCCAGUAGUC